UUGCACAUUUCAUUGACCUGCUUUCUUUUUAAUAUGUGAGCAGGGUUAUUUCUUAUGUGCUAUACAAAUAGUUGAAGGUUAAUUAGCAGAAUAACUAUAUGUAGUAAUGCUGCCAGUCUCCUUCAGACAAAA
rnacentral:snoRNA from 1 species